UUAACAAAAAUAAAUGCACCAUUCUUAAACUUAUUCCUUUUUUUCUCUUUUUUUUUAAAGGAAUAAUUAAACAGUGUCUGAAGAUUGUUUUGCAGACAGGCUAAUGGCUGAUGAAACUCUGAUAACACUCAGUCCAUGUGCAGGGCCGUCUCGUUCUUUGAUGGAGGCUGCGGAUAUGGAGCUGGAGCCCGUGGUUUCGGUCACCCCUACCGACAGCCCCGACUGCGACCAUCAGAGACCGACCGUUGUCAGGAACCGUGGGGUGUCAGGGCUCACCCGCCUGGCCUGUUAUCCCCCGCACCCGUCCCCUCCUGGACAUCUCUCUGCCCUCGCCCAACACCCUCUCGCCCGCUUUUGAUCAGCCCUGACUCCGGCUGCUCCAGCGAAGCGGCAUGGGUGAUGUGUUGCUGUGGAGGGGGUGGGAUGGACUACAUUUGGUCAUUUGGACUUCAAGGCCGGACUUACCUCUGAUUCUACGUUUUAAUUAGAGGCUGGCAUAAUAAUUGUUUGCUCAAGACUGUAAAAGAGCCCGUUGAGAGGUGGGCCAGAGCUGGCCGUGUGGGUCCUGCUUAAAAUGCCCUGCGUAUAGAGGUGGUAGCAGUCAGGGAGGUCUCUAACUGCUUUAUAUUUAUUAAAAUUCAGAAUAAUCUAAGCAAUAAGAGAUAAUAUACAGCCAGAUGGUCAUUAUUGCGAGAUAAACCCCACCAGGGUGAUCAGGAUCCAAACCUGAAGGAGAUUUCGCCAUAUUGACUGACUGGUGGACUGUACAUUUUCUGGAUUAUUAUGCUACUGUUUAGCAAAAAAAUAAAUAAAUGGACAUGAAAUAUUGAUUUCAGUUGAAAUUCUUUUGUUACGUGAGAAGAGAGAAACGACUGUUUUCAAGCAGGUUUCUCAAACACUCUCCUAUUGUUUAUGAUGAAAAUCACAUACUGUACUUGUGUGCGUGUGAUUCCGCUUCUCUUUAAACUUGUUUUUCUCAUUCAGUAAGAAUUUGUAUUGCUUUGUCGCAACCAAAAGAGCAUAAUAUAGAACCAAAAUCGUAUUUGUGUCUCUCACGACCCUGGAGAAAGUGUUGGAUGGUUCAGAGGAGGUCAGGCUAAUAUCUGUGCGCCGUAAUGAAAUAUUGAUAAUCAAUGAUGUGGCUGACAAAUGGAAGGUUACCGGGACGACCGCGCAAUGACACCAGCACCUUGGCCUGGUGAAGACGAGCUCUGUUUAAUCUGGAUACAGCCAAUGAAAAUGGUGUGAAAUGCUCUUAAAGGUGGCCCCCUUAAUGUGGGAUUAUCCCAUCACAGGAGUGACAGAGAUUAGAAUUAAUUCCAUUACAGACAUAAUCCUAACAGCUCUGCUUUCCGAGAGAGAGAGAAAGAGAGAGAGAGAGAGGGGGAGAUUUGGAUAGACGCAUGUAUUUGUACAGAUUUGGAAUAGGUCAAGGAUCGUAACUCACCAGAAGCCCGGACAGGGGCCGUUUGACCCUGCAUUGAAAGCGCAGCGAUGACCCAGGCCUCAUGAAAGACCGGAGCGGAGCGCAGACGCUGCUCGAGCCGCUGAAGGUGAUUGAAGAUGAGUGUGACACAGAUAAGGAGUUAAACGCUCGGCGUGUGUGAGUGUGUCCUCAGUAAUAGUCCUGAUAAGUGGAUGUGUACUGUGUCGGCUCUCCAGGGAGUAAACUCACUCAGAUAUACAUCCAUUAAAGAAACACAGCAGCGAGAGGAGGCCGAGGCUAUUGCUGCAAACUGGAGUUCCAUAAACAACCUGACGUGUUUUAGCACUGGUAAUGGAUAGAUCAACCUAUCUAUCUAUGAUGUAAUUAUUCAAAUAAUAUUGUAGUCACACUGUCUAUUAAUUUGAACAAUCUUUAGAUGGUGUUCAACUACCAUUGAAAUAAAAAUACAAUUAAAAAAUUUAAUUAAUUUAAUAUAUGGUACUAAGUCCCAAGUAUGUAUUUAUGUAUGUAUUUAUUUUUAUUUUUAUUCAUUUAUUUUUAUUUAUUUUUAUUUUAAACAAAUAGCAAUUUGGCAACUCCUGCUUGAUAAAAUAUUUUAAUUAUAUUUUUAAUAUUUUACUGCUUGAAAUAAUUAGAAAAAAUCAUAUUCAUUAUAGACAUUUCCAUUACUU
ensembl:lncRNA